GGGAGGACAGCGGCAGCGGCUCGGCAGCAGAACAAGUCGGGGUGAAGAUGUGAGAAGUGUUCCUGCCCGUGCCUUCGGAUCUGUUUGCGGAUGGAAACAGUGCUGCAAUCCCUUGCCACAGUGCUGAGGGGAGGAAUCCAUGGCGUGCCUUGCAUGAAGUCCAGCUCCCCAUGCUGCAAACUGGCAGAUGUGGAGCCGUCAGGAACCAGCUGAGGAGGGAGCAAGAGACAACCACAAUAUAAAUACAGAAAAAAAAGGACCUUGUCAAAGCCGGGUCCAGGUUUUGGCUGUCAAGAUAUGUCUGUGCUCAGGAUCCCCAGCUGGUAAUUCCACCUUGCAGUAAAGCACAGCAAUGGGACUUGGAAAGAGCAGCUGAAGUCUGAGGCAUAAAGUGCUCUCUUGGAGGUCAGAGAUGCUUCUUCAGCCUCUGUCCUGUCCAGCUCAGAGCAAGGUUUGGCAACAACUUGGUCAAAGCUUCCCUUUGUCUCUCCUCUGGGAGCUGUUUCAAUUUAGCCCAUUAACUGCAGUUUCCAGAGGAACAUUGGGGACAUGAAGGAACUGGGUUUAAAUCCUUUCACCACACCAGGCAAAAGAGAUUUGGGCAGAGUUUUCCCCACUCAGAGUGCCUGAACAGUGGGUUUGGUGUUCCUUGGCGUGAUCCUGAAUACUCCUGAGCUCACCAAGCGCUGUUUUCACGGCCGCCAGUCUCCCUGUGUGAGCUGGAGACACAAACACCUCCUUUUCCUCCUCUGCUCUGCUCACACACUCCAAGCACAGCUUUCUUGUGAGGCUGUGGUGACCAGGGCAGCACAGUCUGUCAUCACACUGGGAAGCAGGACACUGGCUAGUUCUCCUUGUGACCAACAAAGUGGUUUUAACCCACAUCUCUGGAGCGAGCAGGACACUCCCCAUAUGCCAAUCAGCUCGUAACACCUCAGACCUACCAGGCUAGUUUUACUUUCUUCUCUGCACUUCUUCCUUUUUGAAGGCACUAUAAACACAAGUGAAGCUCUUUGAGGACAGGGAAGGGAAGGCAGAUGAGCAGCCAGCAGCAGCAGAGUGAAUGGGACGACAAUCUUUGCAUAAGUUAUAACCCAGAGCAGAGGGAAUAUGCCUUUCUCAGAAGGAGUGGUUUCAAUUUCAUGCAGAUUUCUGACUCCUACAGCUAGUUAUGAUCCACAGGAACAUUCAGAAAGAGGCUUCUUUUUCCUUCUUUUGAUCCUUUUCAUCCCUCCUACGAAGCCCUUUGUUAUUUUACUGCCUGGACCACAAGUUUCUCACACAGAGCAAGAAAGAGUCCAAAAUAAAUUGAAAGAUGAAAUUAAAUGGGCUGCACUUGUAAUGAAAAUGUGAAGGUGACCAAACUCUUUUACCUGAUCCAACAUAAAGAGGUUUCAGAUUCUGAUUGGGGAUUUUUCCUGUUUUGACAUUAAAACACACUUUCUUUCCAAUUAUACAGUUUCUUAAGUAUUUUUGCCUAACAUUUCCCCAACUUGGAUCUAGCUAAAAGACAAAGGGCUUGAGGUUUUAUUUGUUUGUUUGUUUGUUUUCCCAGCAACACAUUAGAAAAUGCAGUGCAAGCUUUAAUGACUAUGUCUGUUUUAACAUGCCUUUUGGAGGACUGUAGGCAUUUAUGGGGGAAUGAGGUAAUUAACAUAUUACUUGGGCAUGCAAAGACAAGUUCCAAGCAGCUGCCUUUAUUCUCUUGAUAUGGCAACACAAUUGUUAAAACAAUGCCUUCUUAAAUCUUUCUUUUUUCCCUCUCUGUGUUCACAGACCACUCAAGUUGCUUGUUUAAGCCAAAGCUUUAAGAGCUUGCCAGAUUUUCAGGACCAGUAAUUUUUCUCUCAAACAUACUGUUCCCUCUUACUUAUUUGAAGUAGCAAAAUAAAAAUCAAUAUCUCAAUCCCUUUAAGGAAAUGUUGAACUCAAGAGCUCCCAUGUUCUCAUUUCAGCCUCUAAAUAAAUGACUUCUAUAUUACACCCAUUUUUCUUUCAGACUUUCCAGAUUUUCCACCUAUUAAUCUCAAACCUUCAUGGUUCUUCACAUUAAUCUCACCUUCACGGAGGUGGUGAGAGGUGGGUUUAGCUGAUCCAGCCCACUGUGAGAGGUGUCAGUAGCCCUGAAGUAUCUGGGAAGCACAAGAAGAUGGAGGAAGGAUCCAGCUGCCUUGCUUCCUGCCUUGCAGAAAUCCAGCUCCAGGGAAGACAGCAUGCAUGGCAGGAAGGCUGGAGGCACCUCUACAGGCAGAGCUGAUCUGCAGAAGGUGAAUGACAGCAAAGCAGCAACUCCUGGUGGGCACAGAGAGGAUUUACCCACCUCCAGCACGAUGUGAUAGCCAGGAAUCCCUGGAAAGCUCAUUUUCUGCUACAAAGGGGGAAGAAAGAAGAGAUUAGAAAAGAAAAAUUACUCUUAGAGUUGCCUUCAAAACUCCAGCAGCAGAUUGAAAUGUAAGCUCCAACUACUUCUUCACCUCCACAGCUCAGCUCAAAUUCCUCCUCACCGUUUCCUUUACAUCAAAGACACAGAAACUUGAAAAAAAAAAUCAA